CUUCAACGAACCCAGCAGGAGCGGGUGUUCACGGUCCUGGCCGUAGGUCGCCAGCAACGCCUGCGCCUC
rfam:Streptomyces bungoensis strain DSM 41781 genomic scaffold PRJNA299233_s035, whole genome shotgun sequence.